AUAUUGCAUAGAGAAUACGGUGAAGCAUUAAUAUUUGGGCAAGCCAGUUUGAACUGAGAGAUAUGAGGUGUUUUGGAGAACAAUAACAACCAAAAAACCCAAUGUCUAAACCAUAAAAUUCAAAGCAAAAAUGUAAAAAAUAUAGCCCUUAAAAAUUUUGAUCCAGGCUAUUCUUUGUAUUUACAGGAUCUGCAUUCACUUUUUCUACUGGAUGUAAAUAGCAGACAAUAUUCUUCAUGUAUAUUAAAUUAAGAAUGUGAGGAUAUUUCUACACUCAAAAUCCAGUUGACUAUUUAAAUGAGAGAACAACAUAUAUAGGAUCCAGAUGCCCUCUAAUUGUUUGUAUUAACUCUUUCCCACAAUCACCAGCAUAUGUAUAUGUCUCCUUCUUCUCCUAGCUGAUUGGGAACCAGAGCCCCUGUGAAAAAUACCUCUAGUAUUUGUAAGGGAGAAGAAAGAUGGAUUUUGCUGAGAUCUUUGUAUUCCUCACAGCACAGACUAAACAUUCCAAAGUGCUCCAGAAACACAGCAUGCGAUGCCCUGAGUGCCAACUGUGCCUUUCACUUGCACUUGACUGAAAACACCCAGAAGACUGAAAGCCACAAUUUUUGCCUUUGGUGGGGAAUCAAGCAUACGAACUAUUGGUAACAAACAGAGGAACACUGCUUAUCAGAGGAACACUGCUUAUCCUCUGAAAUCGAAGAACAGUCUUAUCAGGAAAUGCCCUUGCCUCACUCACUCACAGAAAGACCUAAGUUCUCCCUCAGGAUCUGUGACUAGUGGUCUCACGGUCCAGACAUUUUGGAGAAAUUUUCCUUCUCUUCCAAGUUUCUCUUGCUUUCUCCCAGUGUUCUCAUUCUGUUUUAUGUUAAGCACAACACCCCAGCAUGCCACUCAACUCAUCAUUGGUCUGUAUCAGCAUCCAGAAAUUCCACUGUUAUGUAUCCAUUUCUUAAAGGACACCUGAACAGCAGAAUGCUUUAUGAACAUUAUUUAAUCAAGUCUUAUGACAGUCCCGUGAGGGGAACUGGGAAACUGAGAGAUUGGCUUAAUCUCUGCAUAGGUAAGGAGACCUGUCAGGAGGAGCAGGGCAAACAUGCAGGAAGAGACAGGCUGGGAGGUUAAGCGGAGAAUGGGGAUUGAUAGCAGAUGUGCAUUUAAACCUUUCUAACCAGCUAUGCACCUGGAGGAAAUACCUACAUCUGAAUCCUUCUGAGGUGCUCCUGUGGAGUUUUAUGUAUGUCACUCCAAAAUAAUAGCAAUAUUCUAUGUAAUUCAGUGAUUUUAAAUUCACUAAAGCAAAUGCUUGUUAAACAAUGUUUGCAUUUUUUCUCUCUUUUGCUGUCCUCCCUCCCUCUCUGUGGCCGCCUCUCUGGGGCUCAAAUUUGUCAGCCACAAGACUGACUGAAAUACAAGUAAGUAAAGCAAAUGACCACAUUCAUUGUCCAUGACAAACCCAAACCAUAUUCCAUCACAUCCCUGUG
rnacentral:lncRNA from 1 species